GGCGAACGCUGGCGGCGGGCUUAACACAUGCAAGUCGUACGCGGGGCUCUCCUUCGGGAGGGCUGCCGAGUGGCGAACGGGUGCGUAACGCGUAGGUAACCUGCCCUCGAGUGGGGGAUAACCCCGGGAAACCGGGGCUAAUACCGCAUAUUGUCUUAGCAUCGCAUGAUGCUAAGAUGAAAGCCUUUGGGCGCUCGAGGAGGGGCCUGCGUCGGAUUAGCUAGUUGGUGGGGUAAUGGCCCACCAAGGCGACGAUCCGUAGCUGGUCUGAGAGGAC
rnacentral:rRNA from 1 species